UUGGAGAGUUUGAUCCUGGCUCAGGACGAACGCUGGCGGCGUGCUUAACACAUGCAAGUCGAACGGAAAGGUCUCUUCGGAGACACUCGAGUGGCGAACGGGUGAGUAACACGUGGGCAAUCUGCCCUGCACACCGGGAUAAGCCUGGGAAACUGGGUCUAAUACCGGAUAGGACCACUUGGCGCAUGCCUUGUGGUGGAAAGCUUUUGCGGUGUGGGAUGGGCCCGCGGCCUAUCAGCUUGUUGGUGGGGUGACGGCCUACCAAGGCGACGACGGGUAGCCGGCCUGAGAGGGUGUCCGGCCACACUGGGACUGAGAUACGGCCCAGACUCCUACGGGAGGCAGCAGUGGGGAAUAUUGCACAAUGGGCGCAAGCCUGAUGCAGCGACGCCGCGUGGGGGAUGACGGCCUUCGGGUUGUAAACCUCUUUCACCAUCGACGAAGGUCCGGGUUCUCUCGGAUUGACGGUAGGUGGAGAAGAAGCACCGGCCAACUACGUGCCAGCAGCCGCGGUAAUACGUAGGGUGCGAGCGUUGUCCGGAAUUACUGGGCGUAAAGAGCUCGUAGGUGGUUUGUCGCGUUGUUCGUGAAAUCUCACGGCUUAACUGUGAGCGUGCGGGCGAUACGGGCAGACUAGAGUACUGCAGGGGAGACUGGAAUUCCUGGUGUAGCGGUGGAAUGCGCAGAUAUCAGGAGGAACACCGGUGGCGAAGGCGGGUCUCUGGGCAGUAACUGACGCUGAGGAGCGAAAGCGUGGGGAGCGAACAGGAUUAGAUACCCUGGUAGUCCACGCCGUAAACGGUGGGUACUAGGUGUGGGUUUCCUUCCUUGGGAUCCGUGCCGUAGCUAACGCAUUAAGUACCCCGCCUGGGGAGUACGGCCGCAAGGCUAAAACUCAAAGGAAUUGACGGGGGCCCGCACAAGCGGCGGAGCAUGUGGAUUAAUUCGAUGCAACGCGAAGAACCUUACCUGGGUUUGACAUGCACAGGACGCGUCUAGAGAUAGGCGUUCCCUUGUGGCCUGUGUGCAGGUGGUGCAUGGCUGUCGUCAGCUCGUGUCGUGAGAUGUUGGGUUAAGUCCCGCAACGAGCGCAACCCUUGUCUCAUGUUGCCAGCGGGUAAUGCCGGGGACUCGUGAGAGACUGCCGGGGUCAACUCGGAGGAAGGUGGGGAUGACGUCAAGUCAUCAUGCCCCUUAUGUCCAGGGCUUCACACAUGCUACAAUGGCCGGUACAAAGGGCUGCGAUGCCGCGAGGUUAAGCGAAUCCUUUUAAAGCCGGUCUCAGUUCGGAUCGGGGUCUGCAACUCGACCCCGUGAAGUCGGAGUCGCUAGUAAUCGCAGAUCAGCAACGCUGCGGUGAAUACGUUCCCGGGCCUUGUACACACCGCCCGUCACGUCAUGAAAGUCGGUAACACCCGAAGCCAGUGGCCUAACCCUCGGGAGGGAGCUGUCGAAGGUGGGAUCGGCGAUUGGGACGAAGUCGUAACAAGGUAGCCGUACCGGAAGGUGCGGCUGGAUCACCUCCUUU
rnacentral:rRNA from 1 species